CGGAGGAAGCGUACUAAUACAUGCAGUCGAGCGGACAGAAGGGAGCUUGCUCCCGGAUGUUAGCGGCGGACGGGUGAGUAACACGUGGGUAACCUGCCUGUAAGACUGGGAUAACUCCGGGAAACCGGAGCUAAUACCGGAUAGUUCCUUGAACCGCAUGGUUCAAGGAUGAAAGACGGUUUCGGCUGUCACUUACAGAUGGACCCGCGGCGCAUUAGCUAGUUGGUGGGGUAAUGGCUCACCAAGGCGACGAUGCGUAGCCGACCUGAGAGGGUGAUCGGCCACACUGGGACUGAGACACGGCCCAGACUCAUACGGGAGGCAGCAGUAGGGAAUCUUCCGCAAUGGACGAAAGUCUGACGGAGCAACGCCGCGCGAGCGAUGAAGGUUUUCGGAUCGUAAAGCUCUGUUGUUAGGGAAGAACAAGUGCGAGAGUAACUGCUCGCACCUUGACGGUACCUAACCAGAAAGCCACGGCUAACUACGUGCCAGCAGCCGCGGUAAUACGUAGGUGGCAAGCGUUGUCCGAAAUUAUUGGCCGUAAAGGGCUCGCAGGCGGUUUCUUAAGUCUGAUGUGAAAGCCCCCGGCUCAACCGGGGAGGGUCAUUGCAAACUGCGAAACUUGAGUGCAGAAGAGGAGAGUGCAAUUCCACGUGUAGCGCUCAAAUGCGUAGAGAUGUGCAGGAACACCAGCGGCGAAGGCGACUCUCUGGUCUGUAACUGACGCUGAGGAGCGAAAGCGUGAGGAGCGAACAGGAUUAGAUACCCUGGUAGUCCACGCCGUAAACGAUGAGUGCUAAGUGUUAGGGGGUUUCCGCCCCUUAGUGCUGCAGCUAACGCAUUAAGCACUCCGCCUGGGGAGUACGGUCGCAAGACUGAAACUCAAAGGAAUUGACGGGGGCCCGAACAAGCGGUGCAGCAUGUGGCUUAAUUCGAAGCAACGCGAAGAACCUUACCAGGUCUUGACAUCCUCUGACAACCCUAGAGAUAGGGCUUUCCCUUCGGGGACAGAAGUGACAGGUGGUGCAUGGUUGUCCUCAGCACGUGCCGGGAGAAGUUGGGUUAAGCCCCGCAACGAGCCCAACCCUUGAUCUUAGUUGCCAGCAUUCAGUUGGGCACUCUAAGGGGACUGCCGGUCAAAAACCGGAGGAAGGUGGGGAUAACCCCAAAUCCAUCAUGCCCCUUAUGACCUGGGCUACACACGUGCUACAAUGGACAGAACAAAGGGCUGCAAGACCGCAAGGUUUAGCCAAUCCCAUAAAUCUGUUCUCAGUUCGGAUCGCAGUCUGCAACUCGACUGCGUGAAGCUGGAAUCGCUAGUAAUCGCGGAUCAGCAUGCCGCGGUGAAUACGUUCCCGGGCCUUGUACACACCGCCCGUCACACCACGAGAGUUUGCAACACCCGAAGUCGGUGAGGUAACCUUUAUGGAGCCAGCCGCGAAGGUGGCCAAA
rnacentral:rRNA from 1 species